rnacentral:rRNA from 1 species
AACAGGAUUAGAUACCCUGGUAGUCCACGCCGUAAACGAUGUCGACUUGGAGGUUGUUCCCUUGAGGAGUGGCUUCCGGAGCUAACGCGUUAAGUCGACCGCCUGGGGAGUACGGCCGCAAGGUUAAAACUCAAAUGAAUUGACGGGGGCCCGCACAAGCGGUGGAGCAUGUGGUUUAAUUCGAUGCAACGCGAAGAACCUUACCUACUCUUGACAUCCACGGGAUUUGGCAGAGAUGCCUUAGUGCCUUCGGGAACGCUGAGACAGGUGCUGCAUGGCUGUCGUCAGCUCGUGUUGUGAAAUGUUGGGUUAAGUCCCGCAACGAGCGCAACCCUUAUCCUUUGUUGCCAGCGAUUCGGUCGGGAACUCAAAGGAGACUGCCGGUGAUAAACCGGAGGAAGGUGGGGAUGACGUCAAGUCAUCAUGGCCCUUACGAGUAGGGCUACACACGUGCUACAAUGGCGCAUACAAAGAGAAGCGACCUCGCGAGAGCAAGCGGACCUCACAAAGUGCGUCGUAGUCCGGAUCGGAGUCUGCAACUCGACUCCGUGAAGUCGGAAUCGCUAGUAAUCGUGGAUCAGAAUGCCACGGUGAAUACGUUCCCGGGCCUUGUACACACCGCCCGUCACACCAUGGGAGUGGGUUGCAAAAGAAGUAGGUAGCUUAACCUUCGGGAGGGCGCUUACCACUUUGUGAUUCAUGACUGGGGUGAAGUCGUAACAAGGUAACC